GGGUUAGAUGGAGAAGGGGGGUUCAUUUCUUUCUGAUAGUGACGGCCUUGGUUCACAGGCUGAAAGAAACAAAACAUCUGUGAGGCGGAAACCCAUCAGCUUGGCGACCUUGGCACACACCCUCGCAUCAGUCCUCAUUUCUGAUGUUUUGAUAUCAACGGUUCUCAUUUUUUGAGAUCUUAUUUCUGAUAUUCCAUCUGCAGGAGAGAGCUGCGUCCCCUUCCCAGCGUAGGCAGAGGCUCUGGGAGACCCAGCAAUCCCAGGGUGGCAUAACCCACAGAACGCAGGCCACUUUAAAGGGUUCCGUAGCAUCUGUGAUGUAAACAGAGGCCUCCCUCACAUGAGAGCUCUCCGUGUGGAAUCUUUAGGCUGUUGCUGCUUCUGGAGACAGCAGAGGAAAACAAGGUCUCCUGCUGAAAGCACUGGCAAUGGCUAGAGGUGCAGCAAAACAUAUUUAUGUCUCAGGGCCAGUAAGUUGGCGAGGACCACUCUGUUGCCGUUAGCUUGGACUGUUCAUGUGAAUCUCAGGUCCCACCCCCAAAUGUAUACGAAAACUGUGAGCAUGGAUCAGAAUGAGCUGACAAAGUGGUGCUAGUAAAAAUGGGGACUCUCUAACCCCCCCCACAAUAAACCUUUCCUCAUUUCUUGAAACACAACUAAGAAACACACAAAAAACAAGACAGAAAAACAAAUGAAUGCCAAUAAUAAAACUUGAUUUUCUUCCUCUUUGAGGAGAAAGUUCGGACAGCUAAUACCAACUCCAUUUUGAGGAUAAUUCUAAAUGUUUUCCUAACGUGGCUAACAAUGACAAAAUUCUAACAUGGAAACCACAUUAUUUUGGCCUUCUUGUUUUACCACACGGUGGAACUUGGCAUGCAUUUGUGAAGUGCAUUCAGAACUCCUGCUCCCACAGGGGUUGCUAAGGCCCCUUCACCCUAGUGAGGAGAUGUGGUCCCAUGGUGCAGAGGUGCAGAGACCAAGCUAAGAUGUGUCAGUCACCCAUGUGAGAAUCAUGUCACUUAGCCUGGCUACCUGCGAUGCACCAUGCAUUUCGGUGCUCUCAGAUAAUUUGGUGAGUGAACGGCAGGCAACACCGUCACGGUAAUCAGAAAUAACAGCUGGGAGAACAGUGGAAGGGAAAUAUGUCAUAAGGCAUAACUCAUCUCACCAGAGAAAUCAAAAUUUCAGCAAUUUGCAAGUGAAAUUUAGUUGGCAAUUUAGGCUUUAUUAUUUAGAGCGAGAGCUGCUUCUCUGGAUCAGCUUGCACUGGGAUAGGAAAUGUCCCAAUGAUGCCGUCGUUGGCAUCCACUGUGCGUCUGCAGCACUGAGGCCUCUGGUGAAUGGACUUCUGCUUAUUUAUCUCCACAUGCACUUCCAGAACUUUCUGGGUAGGUAUCACAGCUCCAUAACCGAGCAAAUGUCCACCCCUGAAUUUUAUAGCCAUUGGUUCUAUGUAAACUCAUUCCAAGCCCUUAUUCCAGAUGCUGUCUUUCCUUCCUUGGAAAGCUCUUUGCCCUGGGCACACUAGUUCUUCUCAGUGAUCCAAGGGGGAAGAAAGGCACAUCCAAUAAUGACUCACAAUAGUGUUUGGAAACAUUCAAUAACAGCUUUUCAGAGAAGGAAAAACUUCAUAUGCAGAGGUAUGUCUGCCUGAAGUCAAAUGUCAUCAAGUUGACUUUAUGGGGCUGAAGACCUGCUACCCCACCUGUGGUAUCUUGCAUUGAGAAACAGAAGCAGUGACAAGGUUGCACAUCCCUGCCCUUGCUCUUUACCUCAUACAACUGAGGAAGGAGUUUGUGGUGUACUCCUAAACCUUAUGUGAUCCUCCCUGCACCCAGAAGAAAGGAUCCCCCUUAUCUCAAGAAGGUGCAGGAACACAGGGGAGAGGCUGAUCAAAAGGCCUUGCUAAGCUCUCCUGGUAUCCUUCCAGUAGAUCAUAUCACCUUUAUUAAAUCAUAGUUCUCCAUGAAUUUCCACUCUGUCUAAUCUAGCAUGACAAUAAGCAAGAGACCAUUUCUCUUGGAAAAUUCAAGUGUAAUCAUUUCUCUGGGUCUUCCUUUUUUUUCUUUUUGAGGGUUCUUGUGUCAUGAAACACGUAUGAAAUUUAUUUGUAGGCUUUAAAAAAGAAAUGAAUCUGUCUUCUAUUAUAAAUUCUCAGCCAUGGACCUAAGGUGGGUAGUGAAGGAGACAUUUUCCCUUUCCUGGGUUUCUCCUAUAGACAUAUCAAUAAGUUUGUUUUUUGGGUAGGUAACAUCCUGUGACGGUAUCUGUGAUGGUCAAAUAAAAUCAAGGUUUGAUUUUGGAAUUUAGCCUUACGUGCAGAAUACUCUAAGUAUUCUUAGAGUAUAAUGCAAAAGGCCAUUGCUCAUGCCCAGAAGUAACAACACCAACUCCAAUAGCAGCAGCAACUUACUGGUGUCUACGAACACCUACGAGGGCCACAGCAGUGACGCAUAUUUACCUCAGUUACCUCGUGCUAAUUCUCGAGAGGGAUGAUCUCAUUUGAGCCCCACUGCAAGCCUGUGAACUACAUAUGAUUAACUCAUUUAUUAGAAGAGGACAUUCUGCUACUAGUAUUAACCCAAGACCGUGCUUGCCAGGACACGGUGCAGCUAGGAUCUGUACCCAUUCGUGAGACUCCAUCUCGGCACUAGUUUGUUUGUAUUGUUUAAUGCAGCUUGGGAAUUCACGCAGAAUGUGGAAUGCAAUGUUUCUGAAUAACAACCUGGCAGGAUCCAUUCAGUAUACGGAAAGGAAAAAGGAAGCAGUCCCAAGAUACAUUUGUCUGAAGCAUACGAGACUGUCCGAUUUUUAUAAAUUAAGUUCACUUGAUUUGACACUCACAGCAUGUCGCUAUAUAUUUAAAGUUAACAUCAGUAAGAUUUUAAGCACACUGAUGAACGUGGGCCUGUUAUAUAUAGUUGAGUUAUAUCAGGCAACACACACUCGGAGAAUAAGGACCAUUCAUAUUGUGAGGUGACUUUUGUAGUCGCUAGCCAUAGAACAACUUGCACAUAACCAUAUUUUCUCCUGACAGCACAGAAAUGACCGUGACUCUAAUAUCAGUUUCCUCGUAUCAUUUCUCAGUUUCAUCUGAUUUUAUCUACAGUGCAGCACAAUCAAAACCCUACCUUCCUAGUUUACCCAGAUAACAAACAAGCCUGGCAUAUCCUGCAAGAGCUGAGGAACUAAUGAGUCUGUGGAUGAGAAGAAAUUAAGACCCAUUAGGGCCCCAGUCCGUGUGCACGGCCCCAGGAUGCCUGCUUAGCUCCAGGAGCCAUGAGAAGAGGAACUUGAAGAACUCCUGCCAGGUAGCAGGCUCCUAACAUGGAAAGGCCCUUUGAGCCUGACAACUGGGCCCAGUCAAUCCCUGGGACUGCCAUGGUGGAAGAGAACUAAUUCAGCCAGGCUGUGCUCCAACAUCCAUGCCCGUGCCAUGGUGCGUACCCCUCACAGAUAGAUGAACGUAAAGGACUUCUUUAAUAAAAAGUUAGCCACCCUGUAAGGCAGAGGAGGCGGUGGAAACAACCAAACCCAGACAAAAUCCAAACAAACAAGUGGGUGUGUCCCAAAGGGAGAGGUCAAUGGAAGAGCAGGCAGGCUGGCAGAGAACAGGGACAGGGGACACUGUGGCUGGAGCGCAGUGUCAUUCGCCUGUGCACAUGCUGGAUGGGGUGGGGCAGGCAGCCAGGGUGAGUCUCAAGUUCUAUGUGAGCUGAGGGAGAGGGCCUGAAGAGAAGGGUAUCUGGCAUAAGGAGAGACGCUGCUCUCACCUCCACAGUCUGCCUCUUUCUCGAAUCUGAAAUGCCUUCCUCUGUUUUGUCUACAUGUAAACUUGCACUCCUUCAUGAGCUCUGACCUAAGUGAGGACGUCUGACAGCGUGCCUGGGACCUAGAGGCCAUGUUGAUAUGGAUUGCUCCUUCCUAUACCUUCCCACAGUUCUUUGUCUCACUGACACUCAUCAUCCUGAAUCGCAGAGCUUCUGUCGCUCUGUGAGCAUCCUAAGGUGGGGACAAGUUUUAUCCCUAACAUCCCUCCUAGUCCCCACCACAUUGUACUGAAUAGGUGCGGAAUGAGCGCAUGCGACACAGAUGACGAAGUCUGGGACGGGAGGUGGACAUUUACUCCUGCUCUGGGCACAGAGGAAGAUAUGGCCUUCACAGUGAGGCCUAGAGUAGUGCCACCGAAAAUCCUGGAGCUGUCUGGGUGUCAAUCCGGAGCAAGGUACACGGAUACCCUCACCGUGCAGGUACAGAGCUGGAACUGUAACUUGGAGGGAAUGGUGGAGAGAAGGGGGAAGUGAGGCUGGGGUAGGGUGGUCUCUCAGAGUGCAGGAAGCCCUCUGCCUCAGACUCCAGAGGCAAUGGGAGUCACUGCUUUAGGGAGAACGGAGCGUGUGUGAAUAUCCACAGAGACCAGAAGAGGAGGUUGGGUCCCCUAGAGCUGGAGUAACAGGCAGCUGUGGGCUGCCUGCUGUGGCUACAACAGACUGAAUUCUGGCCAUCUGACAACUAAGGAUUUUACUAAGUGCUUAUUAUGUUUCAAAUUCAGCAGCAGAUGUUUUACAAGGCGGUAGGCCACCGGGUGAGUGCUCCUAACCCUUAGAUCAGAGGCAAGGAGAUGAGGUAUGAGAAAAGCCAGACAAACAGCACCGCGCCAAGUCCCUCUUCUGACCUCCGAGGAUACCAGGAGUGCACAUGCAGGAUGCGGAGUUCAUUACGGAAUGCAAUUUCCCAUUUGUUGCUAGUUCCAGUGGUGGAGCAAACCGAACUUGAUGAAAUAAUAAACACGUCCCAUGAAUCUGAAGAAUAGGACAGCGAUGAGAACCCCGUAUCCAGGGCAACCAAGAGUUCAGACUUCUCAGUCCAUAAAUAAUCAUUCCCCGGCUUGCCCUCUGUACUCCUGGUCUCUGAGCCACUUUCUGACAAAAUGGGCUCCAUCCGGACGGAGGCUGCCACUCUUUCUCUAACUGGGGCUUAAAUGACUGCUGGGGAAUAUUCUAUAAAAAAGGCACCGUUUCACUUCUGUCUGCAACUGACUCUUGUAAUUUUUCUCUGGUGAGAGGAUGCUCUGUGGCCAGAGUCAUGGGGGCAUAGAUACCAUCUAGCACCAAGCUGCCUAGAAAGUUCUGGGUAUCCAUGGCUGCGUCUAAUGAGACCAGAUUGAGCAAGAGGAAGCUGGAGGCAGGGGAGACAGAGACAAAGGUCCCAAAGUGAGCACUGGUGGUAACUGUCCGCCUUUGAACCUCCUUAGAGACUUCUGGAUUCACUGUCCAUGAUGACUUGCAUGUUCUCUCAAGAGCACAGGAACCUUAUCUUCCAUUGGAUGCCUGUAGCACCCAUUUGACAAGCAACUCACAUAUUAAGAGUCAGGAAGACAGCCGGGCCACUUCUCAGGAACCGCAGUGUUCUCACAGGAAGUGGAAACGCUAGUGGCAGCUGGAAGGACUCAUGUAACUAACACAUUGGACUACACGCCAAGAGGCUGCCCAGACACACGAUGUCUACAAAACUGUUGGGGGGCCUGGAACAACUGGCAGAUAGCAAACAAUUACUUAUUAAAUAUGCAAAACUUAUCUUCUCUCUACUACAUUUGAACUUAACAUUAUGUAGGUUUAAAACGUAUCUUAAACAUUUUAAGGAUUUAUUGAUAUUUACUUAA
rnacentral:sRNA from 1 species